AUUGAACGCUGGCGGCAGGCCUAACACAUGCAAGUCGAGCGGAUGAAGGGAGCUUGCUCCUGGAUUCAGCGGCGGACGGGUGAGUAAUGCCUAGGAAUCUGCCUGGUAGUGGGGGAUAACGUCCGGAAACGGGCGCUAAUACCGCAUACGUCCUGAGGGAGAAAGUGGGGGAUCUUCGGACCUCACGCUAUCAGAUGAGCCUAGGUCGGAUUAGCUAGUUGGUGGGGUAAAGGCCUACCAAGGCGACGAUCCGUAACUGGUCUGAGAGGAUGAUCAGUCACACUGGAACUGAGACACGGUCCAGACUCCUACGGGAGGCAGCAGUGGGGAAUAUUGGACAAUGGGCGAAAGCCUGAUACAGCCAUGCCGCGUGUGUGAAGAAGGUCUUCGGAUUGUAAAGCACUUUAAGUUGGGAGGAAGGGCAGUAAGUUAAUACCUUGCUGUUUUGACGUUACCAACAGAAUAAGCACCGGCUAACUUCG
rnacentral:rRNA from 1 species